AGAUAUCCUUCUGUUUACUUCCUAAGUGGCAUGAAAUGGAUGCUGACUGGAUGAAAAUAUCCCAAGAAGAAAAGUGCAUAUGCAUUUGGGGGCCCUAAAUACCACUAAAAGGAAGAAAUAAGACUACAGAUGGCUCCCUGGUACCAGUUCCUGCAUGUGCUGAAAUAUUUCUUAUUAGUCCCCAUAACUUGCUGGAGAGCACAG